rnacentral:rRNA from 1 species
AUGAAAAAAGCACGAGAAAAGCUUGGAGGAUUGCUGGGGCGAAACCCUGGCUUGUCCAAAGAUUUCAACAACUAUGUUGACUUCAGCUUGACGCCGGAAGAAUUUGAGGCAGGGUGGUGUGAGCUGAUGAUGAAGUAUGAGGCUAUGACUGACUCCCACUUCGAGAAUCUAUACAAGUACAGAGAGACAUGGGUGCCCUGCUACUUCAAGCACCAACUCUUCCCUUUCUUGCAGUCAACUCAAAGCAGCGAGGGGUUCAACGCUGUCCUUAAGCGAUAUGUGAACCCACACAAGUCCAUUUUGAACUUUGUGAAGCAAUAUUAG